AUUAAACCUUCAUUAUCUCUCUGUCUGCCAUAUUUGCAUUUCAGGAUACCUCUGUGGAUGAGGUGACCUUUUUGGUUCCUGUUUGGGGGUUAUUAAAUGCAGGGUGAUCCAGCUAUGUCGCAAUCUGGUCCUAUUAGCAGUUCUAUUUGGUCCAAAGAAGUCUACAUUCUGGCGCUUGGUCCCUGACUGAUGUUCCUGCCAUAGCUAUAUCUCUGGCACCUG